GGGGCUGUGGCUCAGCAGUAGAGCAAUCUUCUGGCAUAUGUUAAACCUCAGGUUCGAUCCUCAGCACCA
rnacentral:tRNA from 1 species